rnacentral:lncRNA from 1 species
AACAAUUCAUGCCUGGAUCCAAGCUGCUUCUCCUCCCAGGAACUUCAAAUGUAUCUCCCCACCUGGAGUGCUUUCUGCUGCUCUCCAUGCUCGUUUUCAAUUCAGGGCGGAGGGAUCAUGAAAUGCUGAGAUUUCCAGCACCGAGGUCUAGCGAUGACACGCUGUGAAACUGUCUCCACAUCAACCCGAAGCCAGCAGGCUCCCAGCCGUCCUUAGGCUUGUCAGAAGCAGGAACCCUAAUGAAAACACCUUGGCAGAUGCACCAUAAAAAGAAAC